UACGAAGGGGGCUAGCGUUGCUCGGAAUCACUGGGCGUAAAGGGUGCGUAGGCGGGUCUUUUAAGUCAGGGGGUGAAAUCCUGGAGCUCAAACUCCAGAACUGCCUUUGAUACUGAAGAUCUUGAGUUCGGGAGAUGGUGAGUGGAACUGGCGAGUGUAGAGGUGAAAUUCGUAGAUAUUCGCAAGAACACCAGUGGCGAAGGCGGCUCACUGGCCCGAUACUGACGCUGAGGCACGAAAGCGUGGGGAGCAAACAGG
rnacentral:rRNA from 1 species